GACGAACGCUGGCGGCGUGCUUAACACAUGCAAGUCGAACGAUGAAGCUAGAGCUUGCUCUGGUGAAUUAGUGGCGAACGGGUGAGUAACACGUGAGUAACCUGCCCCGAACUCUGGGAUAACUGCUGGAAACGGUAGCUAAUACUGGAUACGACCUACGAAGGCAUCUUCUGUAGGUGGAAAGAAUUUCGGUUCGGGAUGGACUCGCGGCCUAUCAGCUUGUUGGUGAGGUAAUGGCUCACCAAGACGACGACGGGUAGCCGGCCUGAGAGGGUGACCGGCCACACUGGGACUGAGACACGGCCCAGACUCCUACGGGAGGCAGCAGUGGGGAAUAUUGCACAAUGGGCGCAAGCCUGAUGCAGCAGCGCCGCGUGAGGGACGACGGCCUUCGGGUUGUAAACCUCUUUUAGCAGGGAAGAAGCGCAAGUGACGGUACCUGCAGAAAAAGCACCGGCUAACUACGUGCCAGCCGCCGCAGUAA
rnacentral:rRNA from 1 species